rnacentral:rRNA from 1 species
CCUACGGGAGGCAGCAGUGAGGAAUAUUGGUCAAUGGACGAGAGUCUGAACCAGCCAAGUAGCGUGAAGGAUGACUGCCCAAUGUGUUGUAAACUUCUUUUAUAAAGGAAUAAAACCAGGCACGUGUGCCUUUUUGCAUGUACUUUAUGAAUAAGCAUCGGCUAACUCCGUGCCAGCAGCCGCGGUAAUACGGAGGAUCCGAGCGUUAUCCGGAUUUAUUGGGUUUAAAGGGAGCGUAGAUGGGUUGUUAAGUCAGUUGUGAAAGUUUGCGGGUCAACCGUAAAAUUGCAAUUGAUACUGGCAGUCUUGAGUACAGUUGAGGUAUGCGGAAUUCGUGGUGUAGCGGUGAAAUGCUUAGAUAUCACGAAGAACCCCGAUUGCGAAGGCAGCUUACUAAACUGUGACUGACAUUGAUGCUCGAAAGUGUGGGUAUCGAACAGGAUUAGAUACCCGGGUAGUC